UCAGUGUUUAAUUCAUUCUCUGGAAAUGCAGCUUGUUUACAGCCAUUCAUUGCGGGGGCUUGGAGCAGCAGGGGUCUGAUCCACUCCAAAUUUCAGGCAAAAUACUGUCAUCCUCAUUUUGCUCUUGUUUGUUCCUAGGAGAGAACACAAGGUCAAAUCUUCAACUAGUACAAAGUUGCUCUGAACUACUGAGUGAGGGGUUUUUUUUGUUUGUUUGUAUUUUGGGGGUUUUUGGCUUUUUUUGUGUUAUUGGUGGGUUUUUUUGGUUUUUUUUUGUUUGUUUGUUUGUUUGACAAAGUUUUUCCUCUGCUCUCUCUCCCUUUCUAUGCCUCCCUCACCUUCCAGCCCAGGAGGAGCCCAGGGUACCAGAGGAUUUGUGUUUCUUCCUUGGGUGAUAAAGGCUUCUAGAAGGAAUUAAGGCUGGGUGGCCAAAACCAGCAGCUCCCAAGGCUGAAGGUGUCUGCGUUAUCCAGCCUGGAAUCACACCCUGAAGCCUUUUCCUUCUCGGUGCUUUGAGCAUCUCACACCCUGGAGCUGCUCUCGCUGACCUCGCGGGUUCUGCUGCAGAGGAUGGAUGCUCCUGGCGUAAUUCACUCUUUGAUGUCCUUCAGAGGAGCGCUUGGGAGGGUGGCAGGAAAACAACGGCAAAAAAACUCCAGGAAAGGCGCUGCCUCGGCGGAGCGACAGCAAUUACCGGGCUCGUUAAACCCAGCAAAGCAAACCCUGUGCGGAACGAGGGGAAAUAAAGCGAAUUAAGAGGUGGGCAGAGCCUGGCACUGCCUCCUCCCGGCGGCCGAGCCCCGGGGAAAGCACCGAGCCAAGCUUCGCUUUCACACGGCAGGAAUGAAUCACGGCGGCUGCCGGCAGGCUCGGGGAGAGCUCCCCGGCUGCUAAUUAGUAAAUAAGGGCUAAUCCAAUCAAUUAAGUGCUCAGCCUGGCGCGCCUCUGCUGGAAUAGGGGCAGAGCGGGGUUUUGGAGGUGGUUUUGGCUGUCGGGGUCUCUGCCACAGGGAAAAAAAAAACAACUUCUUCAGGGAGCGGUGCUGCCUCUCCG
rnacentral:lncRNA from 1 species